rnacentral:rRNA from 1 species
AUUGAACGCUGGCGGCAUGCUUUACACAUGCAAGUCGAACGGCAGCGCGGGCUUCGGCCUGGCGGCGAGUGGCGAACGGGUGAGUAAUACAUCGGAACGUGCCCAGUAGUGGGGGAUAGCUCGGCGAAAGCCGGAUUAAUACCGCAUACGACCUGAGGGUGAAAGCGGGGGAUCUUCGGACCUCGCGCUAUUGGAGCGGCCGAUGGCAGAUUAGCUAGUUGGUGGGGUAAAGGCCUACCAAGGCGACGAUCUGUAGCUGGUCUGAGAGGACGACCAGCCACACUGGGACUGAGACACGGCCCAGACUCCUACGGGAGGCAGCAGUGGGGAAUUUUGGACAAUGGGCGAAAGCCUGAUCCAGCAAUGCCGCGUGCGUGAUGAAGGCCCUCGGGUUGUAAAGCACUUUUGGCGGGAACGAAAAGGACUGUGCCAAUACCACGGUUCGAUGACGGUACCCGCAGAAUAAGCACCGGCUAACUACGUG